rnacentral:rRNA from 1 species
GAUCCUGGCUCAGGAUGAACGCUAGCUACAGGCUUAACACAUGCAAGUCGAGGGGCAGCAUGAUUGAAGCUUGCUUCAAUUGAUGGCGACCGGCGCACGGGUGAGUAACACGUAUCCAACCUUCCGUACACUCAGGGAUAGCCUUUCGAAAGAAAGACUAAUGCCAAAUGAUAUCCCACGAAGGCAUCCGAAUGGGAUUAAAGAUUUAUCGGUGAUGGAUGGGGAUGCG